rnacentral:lncRNA from 1 species
UAGUAAUGGUUGGAGCCAUAUCUUGAGUUUUUAGAUGAAUUUUUAGCUAAAUUUUUUCGAAAAAGUAGAUUAUUAUAUUAAAAAGUUAUACAUACAAAUUUUGUGGUAUUUGAGUACUUAAUUUGUGAAAUAUGAAGAAAAUUGAAUUGUUAGGAUUUUACUGAUAUUUUAAGUUUUGCAAUGAAUUUACAAUUGAAAUUUGUUGUAGUAGUUUUUAGAAGUACAUUAGUACUUUAUGUAAAAUUUGAGUGUGUUUGAACGGUCCAAUUAGAAAAUAUGAGUUUUUGAAGUUUAGAAAUAAUAUCUGAUAAGGAUAUUUA